rnacentral:lncRNA from 1 species
GCGUAUCCAGGAUUUUGAGAUGAUGGGUGCACUAUUACGAACAGAUGGAUUAAGAAAUAAAUUUGAUCAGUUUAACAUUUAAGUUCUUAUCACUGAAAAUCAUUCAAAUUUUAAAAUUAUAGGUCAAAAAUUAUUUUUUAUCUCUCCAAACCACUUAGAGAGGUGUUACCCAAUUUUAGAAAGAAAAUAAAACAAGAUAAAUGAAAGAUUCAAAUUUCUAGCCUCAAAGGUGCACCCAAUCAUCAUCGCACAACAUUAUAUGAUACUUCAAGUGUGGGUUC